rfam:Galdieria sulphuraria unplaced genomic scaffold scaf_29, whole genome shotgun sequence.
GCGGCCGUAACUCAGCGGUUAAGAAUUCCGUCAAGAGUGCUUGCUUUACACGCAAGAAGUCGAGGGUUCGAAUCCCUCCGGCCGUA